rnacentral:rRNA from 1 species
CCCUUAGAUGUUCUGGGCCGCACGCGCGCUACACUGACAGAGCCAGCGAGUAUACACCUUGGCCGGAAGGUCUGGGUAAUCUUGUGAAACUCUGUCGUGCUGGGGAUAGAGCAUUGCAAUUAUUGCUCUUCAACGAGGAAUUCCUAGUAAGCGUGAGUCAUCAGCUCGCGUUGAUUACGUCCCUGCCCUUUGUACACACCGCCCGUCGCUACUACCGAUUGAAUGGCUUAGUGAGGUCUUGAGAUUGGCUUCGGGGAGCCGGCAACGGCACCCUGUUGCUGAGAACUUGAUCAAACUUGGUCAUUUAGAGGAAGUAAAANUCGUAACA